rnacentral:rRNA from 1 species
UACGAAGGGGGCGAGCGUUGUUCGGAUUUACUGGGCGUAAAGGGCGCGCAGGCGGCUCAUUUUGUCAGGCGUGAAAGCCCCGGGCUUAACCUGGGAACUGCGUUUGAUACGGAUGGGCUAGAGUUCGGGAGAGGAGAGUGGAAUUCCCAGUGUAGAGGUGAAAUUCGUAGAUAUUGGGAAGAACACCGGUGGCGAAGGCGGCUCUCUGGACCGGUAUUGACGCUGAGGCGCGAAAGCCAGGGGAGCAAACGGG